rnacentral:rRNA from 1 species
UACGAGGGGGGCGAGCGUUGUUCGGAGUUAUUGGGCGUAAAGGGUGCGUAGGCGGUUUGGUAAGUCUGAUGUGAAAUCUAUGGGCUCAACUCAUAGUCUGCAUCGGAAACUGCCGGGCUUGAGUAUGGGAGAGGUGAGUGGAAUUCCUGGUGUAGCGGUGAAAUGCGUAGAUAUCAGGAGGAACACCUGUGGCGAAAGCGGCUCACUGGACCAUAACUGACGCUGAUGCACGAAAGCUAGGGGAGCAAACAGG